AGGGUUUGAUUAUGGCUCAGGACGAACGCUGGCGGCGGGCCUUAUGCAUGCAAGUCGAACGCACUCGACCUUCGGGUCAUAUGAGUGAGUGGCGAACGGGUGAGUAACACGUGAGAAACCUGCCCCGAAGACUGGAACAACCCGGGGAAACUCGGGCUAAUACCGGAUACCCCCAACUAAUCGCAUGGUUAGUUGAGGAAAUGCUCCGGCGCUUCGGGAGGGUCUCGCGGCCUAUCAGCUAGUUGGUGAGGUAACGGCUCACCAAGGCAACGACGGGUAGCUGGUCUGAGAGGACGAUCAGCCACACUGGGACUGGGACACGGCCCAGACUCCUACGGGAGGCAGCAGCAGGGAAUCUUGCGCAAUGGGCGAAAGCCUGACGCAGCCACGCCGCGUGAGGGAUGAAGGCUCUAGGGUCGUAAACCUCUUUCAGCAGGGAAGAAAAUGACGGUACCUGCAGAAGAAGCUCCGGCCAACUACGUGCCAGCAGCCGCGGUAAUUC
rnacentral:rRNA from 1 species